rnacentral:rRNA from 1 species
GAUGAACGCUAGCGGCAGGCUUAAUACAUGCAAGUCGAGGGGCAGCAGGACUGUAGCAUUCCAGUUGCUGGCGACCGGCAAAGGGGUGCGGAACACGUACGCAACCUACCCAAUACUGGGGGAUAGCCCGGGGAAACCCGAAUUAAUACCUCGUAACCUUUUUAAGUGGCAUCACUUGGUAAGUAUAGCUCCGGCGGUUUUGGAUGGGCGUUGGCCUGGUUAGGUAGUUGGUGCGGGUAACGGCCCACCAAGCCUGCGAUCAGUAACUGGUGUGAGAGCACGACCAGUCACAAGGGCAAUGAGACACGGGCCCGACUCCUACGGGAGGCAGCAGUAAGGAAGAUUGGUCAAUGGACGCAAGUCUGAACCAGCCAUGCCGCGUGAAGGAUGAAGGUCCUCUGGAUUGUAAACUUCUUUUAUGGGGGACGAAACCCGGAUAUUCUUAUCCGAUUGACGGUACCUAAGGAAUAAGCACCGGCUAACUCCGUG